AGGUGAAGGCACCUUCUCAAUAAAUCCUUAUACCUCUCACAUGUAUCAUAUAGGGUCUCUAAGUUUAUUUGCACAAAGGAAGAGAUAUCAUUCCUCAACUU
rnacentral:snoRNA from 1 species